rnacentral:tRNA from 1 species
GUAGGGCAUGGCUAAGUGGUAGAGCGCUUGCCUGGCAUGCAUGAGGUGCUAGGUUCCAUUCUCAGCACCACA